rnacentral:rRNA from 1 species
UACAGAGGGUGCGAGCGUUAAUCGGAAUCACUGGGCUUAAAGCGUGCGUAGGCGGAUGUGCAGGCAUGUUGUGAAAUCCCAUGGCUCAACCAUGGAAUUGCUUCGUGAACCGCACAUCUUGAGACAGGUAGGGGCGGUCGGAACGAUAGGUGGAGCGGUGAAAUGCGUAGAUAUCUAUCGGAACGCCAACGGAGAAGUCAGGCCGCUGGGCCUGUUCCGACGCUGAGGCACGAAAGCGUGGGGAGCAAACGGG